rnacentral:rRNA from 1 species
CUAUACAUGCAAGUCGACGAGACUUUCCUCGGUGGUAACACCUUUGAUUGUCUAGUGGCGAACGGGUGAGUAACACGUGAGAAACCUGCCCUGAAGACGGGGAUAACAGAAGGAAACUUCUGCUAAUACCCGAUACCCCCACCGGAUCGCAUGGUCUGGUGAGGAAAUGGAUUCCGCUUCAGGAGGGUCUCGCGGCCUAUCAGCUUGUUGGUGAGGUAAUGGCUUACCAAGGCUUGGACGGGUAGCUGGUCUGAGAGGACGAUCAGCCACACUGGGACUGAGACACGGCCCAGACUCCUACGGGAGGCAGCAGUAAGGAAUAUUGCGCAAUGGGCGAAAGCCUGACGCAGCAACGCCGCGUGCGGGAUGAAGGCCCUCGGGUUGUAAACCGCUUUCAGUAGGGAAGAAAAUGACGGUACCUACAGAAGAAGCCCCGGCCAACUACGUGCCAGCAGCCGCGGUAACACGUAGGGGGCGAGCGUUGUCCGGAUUUAUUGGGCGUAAAGAGCUCGUAGGCGGUUUCGUAAGUCGGAUGUGAAAACUCCAGGCUCAACUUGGAGACGCCAUUCGAUACUGCGAUGACUUGAGUCCGGUAGGGGAGUGUGGAAUUCCUGGUGUAGCGGUGAAAUGCGCAGAUAUCAGGGAGGAACACCGGCGGCGAAAGGCGGCACUCUGGGCCGGUACUGACGCUGAGGAGCGAAAGCGUGGGUAGCAAACAGGAUUAGAUACCCUGGUAGUCCACGCCGUAAACGGUGGGGCACUAGGUGUGGGAUUCACUCAACGGAUUCCGUGCGCAGCUAACGCAUUAAGUGCCCCGCCUGGGGGAGUACGGCCGCAAGGCUAAAAACUCAAGGAUUGACGGGGGCCCGCACAAGCGGGCGGGAGCAUGUGCUU